rnacentral:rRNA from 1 species
UACGAAGGGGGCUAGCGUUGCUCGGAAUCACUGGGCGUAAAGCGCACGUAGGCGGAUUGUUAAGUCAGGGGUGAAAUCCUGGAGCUCAACUCCAGAACUGCCUUUGAUACUGGCGAUCUCGAGUCCGGGAGAGGUGAGUGGAACUGCGAGUGUAGAGGUGAAAUUCGUAGAUAUUCGCAAAAACACCAGUGGCGAAGGCGGCUCACUGGCCCGGUACUGACGCUGAGGUGCGAAAGCGUGGGGAGCAAACAGG